CCCAUCACUUUUAUCAUUGCAUCUUCCCGCCAUCACUUUCUGGUCCUCAACUGAGUCAUCUCCAAUUCCCACAACGAUAUCUCUUUCUCUGGCCAUGGGUUCCGAUUCGUGAUCUCCCGCCAACUUCAACAAUGGAACAUAAUCUCCCAAUGAAUCGUACUCUAGGCCGAGUGCCAACGCGUUCUCCUCCCUCAUCGGUGACUCCAUGAAGCGGAGGUGCUGUCGAUCCUUUACACCUCGGCAAUCACCACCCCGCCACUUCCGCCGCACCAAUCCUAGAUAGCCAUCAAAAGAGUUAUCAAAUUCAAGGCGGAUUCACUUGAUGUCGAUGCAGACGAUCUGUUAUAGUUCGACCACGAUCCCGAUUUGUACACCAAGAUGGUCGGGUAAUCGCUUGAGCUUCUUGCGAUUUUCGAAUUGUUUUGAUGAAUACGGUGGGCCGAAUCAACUCCUCGUCGAGAAGCACAUUCAAACUCGGAGUACAUGUUCAACAUGGUUAAUGGAUUGGAUACUCGUUUAUUGGUUUUAGUUGUGACAUAGAAAGGAUUAUUAUCUGUUGUGUUAUAUUUCUUCGCAUGAUAACCGAACACCUGGAUGCAAGUAAUGUUCUGUAGUUGCUGGACGAGUUGAAGAAGAAGAUCUCUGGUAGUGCAGUUGCAAGCGAGGGAUUUGUUGACAUGCAUUGACGUACGGUGACUGUGAAAAGAAUAUGAUUUGAGGGGAAAGACAAUUGGAAGAAAUGUAGUCCAUUAUCGAGGUCUAGUAAAAAACUGACCUGCUUACUGAAACCGCUCCGGAAAUGCUACCGACAUGGCUUUGCGGUUUUAUUCACCUAAAGAUAUCCCAAUCCCACAUAUUUGGCUAAUUAAAGCAUGGAGUGUGGGAGAGAUAAAGUACUUCUGUCGGAUUGGAUACCAGUGUGGUCCUUUUAAAUGCUUUCAAGUAGUACGUAGUUCCUUCCGUCUUUAUUAAUAUAGCUGACGGUACAAGUACUGUGUUCCUUGAUAUGAAAUUAUGGAUGUAACAGUGCAGUACUUAUUGUUUCACUAUCUGAAAGCAGACUCCAUUUUUAACAUUUGAAGCUA